AUCACUUGUUGGACUUUAGGCUGAGAUUAAGUGUAGAAUCUAUUUUUACAAGUUUAAUAUUGUUACUUCCUCUAUUCGAGGAUAAUACAUUAAAUAGAUUUUUGGAGCAGAGAAAUGGAUAGAAGCUUGCUCCAUUCACCUGACACAUAGACUUGGCAUUACAGUACCUCCAGGAAAGGUGCAAAAGAA